GGUAUUAUAUUUUAAAAAGAAAACUUAACUUGCAAUUAAUAAGUAAUAAACUAUAUGUUAUUUAAUACCA
rnacentral:tRNA from 1 species